rnacentral:tRNA from 2 species
GCCGCGGUGGUGAAACUGGUAUACACGAGGGACUUAAAAUCCCUUGACAGUAAUGUCGUGCGGGUUCAAUUCCCGCCCGCGGUA